rnacentral:tRNA from 1 species
GCAGUGGUGGUUCAGUGGUAGAAUUCCUGCCUUCCAUGGUGGUGACCUAGGUUUGAUUCCUGGCCAACGUA